rnacentral:rRNA from 1 species
UGGGGAAUUUUGGACAAUGGGCGAAAGCCUGAUCCAGCAAUGCCGCGUGUGUGAAGAAGGCCUUCGGGUUGUAAAGCACUUUUGUCCGGAAAGAAAUCCUCUGGGUUAAUACCUCGGGGGGAUGACGGUACCGGAAGAAUAAGCACCGGCUAACUACGUGCCAGCAGCCGCGGUAAUACGUAGGGUGCAAGCGUUAAUCGGAAUUACUGGGCGUAAAGCGUGCGCAGGCGGUUUUGUAAGACGGAUGUGAAAUCCCCGGGCUUAACCUGGGAACUGCAUUCGUGACUGCAAGGCUAGAGUAUGGCAGAGGGGGGUAGAAUUCCACGUGUAGCAGUGAAAUGCGUAGAGAUGUGGAGGAAUACCGAUGGCGAAGGCAGCCCCCUGGGCCAAUACUGACGCACAUGCACGAAAGCGUGGGGAGCAAACA